rnacentral:lncRNA from 1 species
AGCAGCGGGACGCAAGCAGAUGCCUGCCCUUGGCUGUCUCCGAACUUCUCUGUUGCAAGUGGAUAAAUCUCAACCUGUGGCGCCCCCCACACAGGAAGACACCUGGAUUACCAGCCAAACUCAGACCAUGGAAUGCCCUACCAGAUAUGGAAUGCCUUUUUAAUAUCUUUUCUGUGACUGUGACACUUCAUGUGAAUGACAUACUUCACAAGUACACUCGAUACCUUGCCUGCUGACAGCUACCCAUAACCCUUUUUGAGUCCUGUUUCAGCGAGAUCCAUGUGUUUAAGUUCAAUUUUGUAGCACACGAAUAAUAUUGAGUAAUUUCUAGUUAGACGCUGUAAACCUGUGCUAUUAUGGAUUUCUCUUCUUCCCGUUUUUACAGGGCUGCUCGCUCCACUGUCUGUGACCUUUUGCAGGGGUUGUGUUCCUCUAGAUCUUACGUGUGGUAGUUGGCUUAGUUCGGAGAGCAAUCAGGGAAUCAGGAAGCCUCCUAAACCUAUUAUUACAAAUUGCACCUAUAAAGAUUAAGAUCGUUGUCUCUGGCUCACAUAACCGAUUAAACACACAUAUACACUCUAUCCAGUAGCAGAUUCUGUGCUCCCAGGGUUGGCAUUGCCUGGGUGGGAAGAGGUCAAACACAAUCCAUGGGACGGUCUCUAAGGUACGUGUUUGACACCCCCUCUAGUUUCUCUGUGUGUGUGUGUGUUUUAUACAUAUCACAAGCUUACUGGUAAUGGUAACAUUUGCCUUGCCCAGCGAGCAAGACCCACUGGUUUUUGAGAAUGUGGGUCCAAAGAAUUCUGUAGGCCUUGUAGGCCUGAUUAAGGUUCAUUUUUCAUCUAUUAAUCCUCAUUAUUGGGAAAAAAAAAGGAAAAUAAUAACAACCAAAACAACAACAAAAACAAC